GAAAGGUUCAGUGUUCUGCAUAUGUUGAGUACUUGGGUCAGUUUACAUCAGAACGGUUCUCAGAGGACAUUGCUGAGCUGAUUCGGAGCCGUUACCAAUCAAAGGAAAAGCGCCUCUUCGAUGAUGUUUUAGCUUUGUUUGUUCUUCAUCAUCCCGAGAAUGGGCAUGCGAUUAUUCUUCCAAUAAUUUCUUGUAUAAUUGAUGGCACCCUGGAAUAUAACAGAAAUGACCCUCCAUUUGCCUCUUUUAUAUCCUUAUUCUGCCCUGGCACUGAGAACGAUUACUCUGAAC
rnacentral:misc_RNA from 1 species